GUUUCCCAGCACCCGGCACUGGAGCUGACCAUUUCGGCCGGAAUCUUUGUCCGUCACUCUGACAAGCGCGAUGACAGAUUCGGAGGGUGCCGCCUCGCUGAUGGCACCCUGGCGCACAGAAACAAAACUGAUUAUUGCAGUCUGGAUGUCCUACGCUGCUUCACACAGGAUUGUGUUGGUACUGCGACUGGUUUUGGUGAAGAAACUCACAAUUGGCCGACAGGAUCAUUGUGUGCGGUAAGCUGUGGAGAUCACCCUGAGUACACCACAACAGUAGUAACCACACACUUGCCUUUUUAACAAAAAAAAAUCCUAGACAUGUAGUGUCUCUCACUUUUGAAAUAUCAGAUAAAAUGCUAAACAUUGUUAUGUGUUUACAUCGCUUAAGACACAACUACCGAUGUAAUCUACAUUUGUCUGUGUGUGUGUGUGUGUGCGCACUUUCUUUUGCGCAAUGUGAUCUAAUACAAGAGCUGCAUCAAAGAUAAACGGCACUCAAAGUCCUCCACCAGGGCUUAAAAUAUUCAGACCUAUACAUAUAAAGCUUGUGAUCAUGUCAAAUUGGAUUUUCUGCAUUGCAUUGAAAUCGCUGCCAGGAUGUGCAACCUGGAUUGCUGCCAGAUGACUCUUGGUUGACCUUCCACAUAGGCGUAGUUACUAGGAUGUUAUAGGACCAUCAAAAAAAAAAAGAGACAAACAA